rnacentral:rRNA from 1 species
GGGGGGGGGGGGGGGGGGGGGGGGGGGAGGGGGGGCGGGCGGGCGGGGGGGGGGCUUGCGCCUGGGGCGUUGGCGGCGGACGGGUGAGUAACACGUAGGUAACCUCCCUAUAAGACUGGGAUAACUUCGGGAAACCGGAGCUAAUACCGGAUAAUAUUUCGAACCGCAUGGUUCGAUAGUGAAAGAUGGCUUUGCUAUCACUUAUAGCUGGACCUGCGCCGUAUUAGCUAGUUGGUAAGGUAACGGCUUACCAAGGCAACGAUACGUAGCCGACCUGAGAGGGUGAUCGGCCACACUGGAACUGAGACACGGUCCAGACUCCUACGGGAGGCAGCAGUAGGGAAUCUUCCGCAAUGGGCGAAAGCCUGACGGAGCAACGCCGCGUGAGUGAUGAAGGUCUUCGGAUCGUAAAACUCUGUUAUUAGGGAAGAACAAACGUGUAAGUAACUGUGCACGUCUUGACGGUACCUAAUCAGAAAGCCACGGCUAACUACGUG